GGGAGAUGAAACUGGAUUCCAUAGAAAACAUCUUUGCAUGGGCUUUUCCUCAAAUUCAAAAGCAAGAGUUGUAGGAGCCUUUGCUACAGCCCUUGCUGUUUGAAUGGCUUGAAGGAGACAGCUGAUAAAUGAAGCCUAGAAACUGCUACUAGUUUCCCAACCUGAGCUAAAUGAUCAGGCAGCUGGCAAAAGUAAGCUUUCCACAUGGAUGAGCUACUUAUAUGGACCUUAUAAAGCCUAAAGCAUCACAAGGGCCAUAUUGUUCAGGAUUUCAGAGAGCAAUCGCUUAUCUUUGUGGAUACAAGUAAACGGACAAUGGUGUCCCGACCAUCUGCUCAAGCUGCUUGAGAACAGUCUUCUGUGCAAAUGGCAUGAAAGAACAGCCAAGCACCAAGUAUUGGAACUGACAUCUGAAUUAAAGAGUGUGCAAAAAAAUCUCUUCCCUCUUUAACUAUUGAAACAACUAAAAUGGAAAACUGACUAAAAGAGGUGAGUCCUUUCCUCUGA